rnacentral:lncRNA from 1 species
UUCGGAAGAUUGCAAGACUAGAAUGUGAUGUAGCCCGAGAAAGAAAAUGAGUCCUCACAUGCAUGUUGAGCAGUUUUUGAGGGCGAUUCUUUCUGGAUCUGUGGUCGUUUGUCUUCUAAGUGUUCCUGGUGUUGGUUCACCACUGGGGAGACGCUGUUUAGGCACAAAGUGUGUGACAAGCACAGUGACACUGCCUAAGCAGAGAGGAGAUGAGAUGGGCAUAACCCUUUCACAUCUUUCUGCACCAACCCACUCUCUCUUCUCUAAAAAGCGUUCAUGUGCGACAGGGCUAGCGAGGCAUAAACUCCCCACCAGGCUUCCUAAUGAGUUGACCAAGAGCCAUGACCAGACCAGGUGGUUAAAGUCACGUCAAGUCUUGACAGCACGCAGGCUCGCUCCGGGCUGGUGUGCGUGACCCCAGGGCUUGGGCGAAUGUUGCUGGGGAUUUAACAGGAGGGAGAAGGCGAGGUUACUUCAUUCAUUCAGUGUUCUUGGAAGUCAGUUCUAAAUAAGACACCAUGAGUUUGUAAUGAAACUCUUCAGCUAUCUUUAGUCUCAUUUUUUUUUCACUCAGAGUCUUGAGCUUCAAUAUGAUCUUUUUAUCCUUGGCUGACCAUUCAAUUAUGUUUAUCAAGUGUCUGCUCAGUGAUUUGCAGGCAGAGAGAGAGGGAGUCUGGGUUCUGGCCCAUAAAGCUGUGAGAGGGUAACUGAGGAGAGGAGCAGUCCAAACAUAAGGCAGUUGGGGAACAAAGCAAGGCUGUAUGCAGCUUCAUCCAUCGCUCAGAUCAUAAACAGAGGCACUGAGCAGAACUGGCCGUUUGUGGUUUAAUUAAAGGGCAGAGAAAUUUAAGGACGACUCAAGGCCACUCCCAUUCUAUGGACUCCAGGAUUUAAUCUCCACUUCCAUCAGUCUGAGACCUCAGCGGCUGGUUUAUCCAUCCAGCAGUUGGUUAGGGCCUGGAAACCAGCAUAUGGUCCCCGAGUACAUGGGACCUGGUGCUGGAAAUUCAGGUUACAAAUUUAUGCCAGAGACGGUCUUUUUCCAAGAUGGCAGCUCUGUUAGUCAAGACUCUGUGGGGACAAGUGAGAGAAAGCCAGUUCAUAGUGGCUUCAGUAAGAAAGAGAACUCUGGCUCUGGAAGGAUACCAGAUCUGUUGGAGUCAUAGCUAAAGCGAAGUGACCACAGGGCAAAGACAGAGCAUCUUUCUUCCAGCAUUGUAUACUUAGAGCAGGAAGAACUCAGAUUGGCUCUUUUGGGUCACAUGUACCCUUUAAACAGAUGACUCUUUCGGGGGGGGGGGAACUAGUCCCACAAGAGGGACAGGAAAACUUUAUCUUUCUUUCCUUUUUUUUUUUUCUUUUUUCUUCUUAGGGCUGUACCUGUGGCAUAUGGAGGUUCCCAGGCUAGGGGUCUAAUCGGAGCUACAGCUGCCAGCCUACACCACAGCCACAGCAACACCAGAUCCGAGCCAUGUCUGGUCUGUGACCUACACCACAGGUCGGAUCCUUAGCCCCCUGAGCAAGGCCACAACCUCA